rnacentral:rRNA from 1 species
UGGAGCCUGCGGUUUAAUUGGACUCAACGCCGGAAAACUCACCGGGGCGACAGCAAUAUGUAGGUCAAGCUAAAGACUUUACCAGAAUCGCUGAGAGGAGGUGCAUGGCCGUCGUCAGUUCGUACUGUGAAGCAUCCUGUUAAGUCAGGCAACGAGCGAGACCCGUGCCCACUGUUGCCAGCAUGUCCUUCGGGAUGAUGGGUACUCUGUGGGGACCGCCGAUGCUAAAUCGGAGGAAGGUGCGGGCUACGGUAGGUCAGUAUGCCCCGAAUCUCCCGGGCUACACGCGGGCUACAAUGACUGGGACAAUGGGCUCCUACCCCGAAAGGGGAUGGUAAUCUCAUAAACCCAGCCUUAGUUCGGAUCGAGGGCUGUAACCCGCCCUCGUGAAGCUGGAAUCCGUAGUAAUCGCGUUUCAACAUAGCGCGGUGAAUACGUCCCUGCUCCUU